UGAGCGUAGUGCGCGUGUAGCGCUGACGCCUGCUUGCCACCUCCGGGGACCACAUUCGACCCAAGUACGUCGGACACAUUCACCGGAGUUUCCUGCACCAGCCAGAUGUGCUAGAGCAUGAUCAAGAAGCAAUGUGGCCCUGACCCCACGGCGAACUGCACGUACGUUAUGCAAUACAAAGACUACACCAACACAACCGGCUACCUCAGCAACGACACAUUCAUGUUUGGUCAGACUUAGGUCCCCAACGUGGUGUUUGGCUGUAGCGAGGCAAGCUACGAUGAUUUCUUUGGUGCCUCCAGCGUCCUGGGCUUCAGCAGGGGGAACCUAUCCAUGGUGUCCUAACUCUAUCUCUCCUGGUUCUCCUACCUCUUGGUUUCGGACGGAUCCAAGAGUGACAACCUCUUGCAGUUCAACGAUGAUGCCAUUCCGUAGACGGAGAAUAGCCACUCAACUCCCCUUCUCAUCAACGACGCAUACCCUGACAUUUACUUUGUCAAGCUCACAGGCAUAAUGAUCGAUGGCCGGCGGCCCAACGCCAUCCCUGCUGGAACCUUCGAUAUCACAAUUCAAAUAAAAGUUUUAAUUUUUUUGAAAUUUCUCUCAAUUUAAUAUUUCACAUUUUUUGAAUAUUACAGCCUAGGAUACUGUCUGGAGAGUGUCCUGAAGACCUCUUUAGUACUGCUUGGGGGCAACAACCGGUACUAAAGGGUGAGCAUUAGUACCGGUUGCUACCUCAAACCGGUACUAAUACUCCACGCACCCUUUAGUACGGGUUGGUGGCAUAAACCGGCACUAAAGGGGGUACCAUCUAAUACUAGUUGCUGCCACAACCCGGUACUAGUGCGGCGCCAUGCAGAAUAGGAGGAAAAUGGAUUAUGGAGGGGGAAAAGAAGAAGGGAGAAAGGCAAAUCAUCAGCUUAUUAUCACAUGGUAGAUUAGUCUUUGAAACAUGUUUAGGGCAGAGUACAUUACCUUUAUCAUGUUUUGCACAUCAACAAAUGUGACCUUUGGAAAAUAGCCCUCCAACUUUGCUUUGGUCAAACUAGUGCACUACUACAAGACGGUAUAGCACGCUUCCUUUUUCCCCAUGAAAAUGAAGUUUUUAAUGAUCUGAUAGCAACUAGCAAACCAAAUGAUUGCAAAGAUGUUUGCAUAUGAUAAUGAUACUUAUGAGCACUCUAAUGAUGAAGAUAUAGAGGAACAUUUGGCCCGUCAACGUAUUUCAAAUUAACACGUCAAAUCGCACUCAAGACCUCUCACCAACUCCUCCACCACUUUCCAAAGGCAAAUCAACUUAUUAUCACAUGGUAGUGUCUUUGAAACAUGUUUAGGGCACAACACAUUACGUUUAUCAUCUUUUGCACAACAACAAAUGUGACCUUUGGAAGAUAGCCCUCCUCUAAAAUUGUGAUGCAUUGUAAUGAUAUGACAUGUAUGUCUCACUUGUAUCAUAGCUGUUAAAGUACCACGUCAAAUCACACUCAAGAUCUCCGACCAACUCCUCCACCACUUUCCAAGGCAAAUCAGCCAAACUCCAUGUUAUAUUCCACCUCUUGGUUGCAUCCUUAUAUAGAUGUCCAUGUAUACUCCUUUGUUUGUCUACUCAGCUUAUCACAUGGUCGUAGUGUCUUUGAAACAUGUUUAGGGAAAGUCCAUAGUGGAGGGAAGUAAAUGUCAAAGGAAGUUUGUAAGGAUAAGACACCACAAAUUUUGUAAGGAUAUUCUAAAGCAUCUGCUUCUAAACCAUCCGCCCUUCACGGUGCUGGUCGAGAUGAGCUCCGAUUCUACGAGCACCUUGGAAAGUGAAAUUAAGUGGAACCUGGACUCACUUGCUAUUCUAGGUACAAUUGCUGUCCUGGUAGCUCAUGGAACAGAUCAUUUGAAGUCCUCAUGGCAGUACUACUUGGGAAAUUGGUUAUCCAUUUUGAUUACGUAAGCCCAAUAAAAGUUGAUUACCAAAAAUGUCCACAAUGAUGCUUUCUAGCUACAACUACCAACAUCAGGGUUUGCCAUGGAUUUUUGCUAACUUCAAAGCUAGAAGGAAUGUUAUUCUUGCUGGUACAAGUACAAUAUAUUGAUAAGACGUGUAUCAGUCAUCUUUCCUUGGCCGAACUGCUAGUGGUUCAAUGAUGUCUUCUUAUAGAUCACUUUAUAGAUCUUAUGUAUUUGGCUGUGAUGACAGUUAUGGAGCCCUCCCAGCCCCUUCGAGCCGAUGCCAAGCCCAAUCUGAACUGCAUAUGGAACGUGAAAACUCUUUCUGCAAUGAGCCAAGCUAUCAAUCCAUUCCUAUGAGGCAACAUCUCAAUUCUGUGGCUACUAAUGAGGCAUUUGUCGUAGAGUAGACCAAUGGUGCAGCGGGGUUAAUUAAGCUUCUUUGAAUGUGAAUAAGUCAGAAUUCUUGUUCUUUCCCUUUUUCUUCGCUCUAUUCUUUUAUGUACAUGGGACUCGGUUGAUCCGCGAGACCUCUCACCAACUCCUCCACCACUUUCCAAGAUAAUAUACCAUCGGAUUCCUUGUAGGAGUUUGUAUGUUGGACCAACGGGAAGUUGACGAAUGAGUGGGACAAAAAUAUGACUCGAUCAUGUCAUUGUGGCCAAAGGUCCUAGUAGCUCAUGGAACAGAUCAUUUGAAGUACACAAGAUAGGGAGGCAAUAGUCAGCACAAGGAGAAGCAUGACCAGAAUCUUGAAAGAGGUAUAACCUUCAAAGCUAGGAAUGUUAUUCAUACUGGUUCAAUGGUGUCUUCUUAUAGAUCAGUUCAUAAAUCUUAUGUAUUUGUCCGUGAUGACAGGUAUGGAGCCCUCCCAGCCCCUUUGAGCUGAUGCCAUGCCCUUUCGGAACUGCACCUUGGAAAGUGGAAUUAAGUGGAGCCUAGUCUGACUUGAUGUUCUAGGUACAAUUAAGUAAUGUCAGCCCAGUCUCCACUUAAUCCCACUUUCCAAUGUGCAUGCACUGCAACCCUAGUUCAUGUACAUGUAUGUAGUACAACGAGUCAAACACCUUACCGGGGGAUCAAGCUCCACGAGGAGGAGAGCUACUUUCAGUUUUAGGGUAUUAAUCAAGAGCAUGAUUAAGUCAUGGUACAAUAAAUUAAUGUACAAUUAAAUAAGAACAUGAUUAAGUCAUGGUAAACUUGUUAAUAACACUAGAGGCACAUUUAUUCUAAAUUUUUGCAUGGUGAAAAAAUCAAUUUUUUUGAAUUUUAAAGUUAAUAUAAGUAUUAUGAGCAUCAUAACCUAUUACUAAUUUAAAAUUAAUAACUUUACCAUGUUAAAUAUUUGACCGCAUCUGAUAUUUUUAUAGUGUAUCUCUAAUAAACAUGAAGCUACAAAAUUGUUUUAAUAAUUUUUAUGACUGUUAUUGAACGUACUAUGCAAUAAAUUAAUAUAAUAGCAAUUGUAAAAGAAAGAAAAAAUAAAAAGAUGGGCAGGAAAUUGAAACAGGGGAACUAGAGGGAGCAUUUCUCUCGCGCGGCGAGACCCUCUAGUACCGGUUUUAGUUUAAAACUAGUACUAGAGGGGCAUUUUCAUUUCCCGCGCGAGGAGACCCUCUAGUACCAGUUGUAAACUACAACUGGUACUAGAGGGUGGGUGGGGGAUUAAGAAGCGCUCGUUGCUUGGCUCUAGUAAACACUUAGCCAUUUCUAACCUCUGUUUCGUCUUGCUCCCGCGCGUCGGCCCCAUCCGCCAAGGACCAUCGCCUCUGCCCCCGUCAAGGACCGCCACCACCGCCCCUGUCUGCCGCCUCCAUCGCCGCCCCUCGACGUCGCGCCCCUGCUAACGCCAUCCCGGCUAGCCUCGGCGCCGCCCCGCCCUGGCCAACCCUGCCCUGCCUCAGCUCCGACAGCAUUGCCACCCUGACGCCACCGCCCCACCCCUGGUGUGCCCCAGCCUCCCCGUUCGUGCCCCGGGACCGAUGUCGCCGACCCUAACACCGCUCCGGCCGUGCCGGCCCCGACGCCUCCCCGCCGACGCCGUUGUCGCCUCGCCGACCAGCCGCACCCCCGACACCGCCUGGCCCCGCGCCCCCAAUGCAGGCCGCCCCGCCCCAUACCUGCAGACUCGCGGCGACCGCGGGUCGCGCUGACGUAAGCCCGUGGCUGCCGUGACGUCAUCAUGCCAUUUAUUUUUUUAGAAUUAAUUUUUGCCUUGAAUUGAAAUACUUAGGAAAUAGCUAGAAAAUUAUAGAAAAUCUGUACUUGUUGAACUUGCAUACUGUGUUCAUCUCGGCGAGCCUGUUCGCCGCCGAGCGGCAACAGACGUCAAGGAGGAGCUCUGAUUCUACGAGGGAGAGCGGCAACGGUCAUGGAAGACGGUGUCCCCUUCCUCGUAGAAUUAGAGCUCUUCCAUGGCGAAGUACGGUGCCGCCCGGUGGAGAAAUGCUCGCCAAGAUGAUCAUGGUCUACAAGUUCAACUAGUACGGAUGGUUAUUUAUUUAAACAUAUUUUUGAGCUAGUAUUUGAUGGAUAUUUGAUAACUUCAAACCUAGGAAUGUCAUCUACAAAUGUUACUACCCUCGAGGUGGCACGUCCUGCAGGAGUUCACUUCCCUACUCCCAGUAUUGUCAUGCCAGAAGGCGAUCGAAGCAAUGGAACAGUUCCGAACAUAGUAAUGUUAUUUCCUUCUUCUAAUUGGUUUUGUACUAAAUAUGAAUAAUUCCUAAUUCUACUUACAUACAAUGCAGUUUAUCAACAGUAUUAGAUGGCUUAAACGAGUUGUUGCUGAGCUAGGUGGUACCACUCCUAGAGUGCAAGCCGAUGUAGUUGGUCCACUUAAAAGACUACACAUCUCUUUUCAAAUACCCAUUCGAGGAGCACCACCAGGGCAGCCCAAGCCCAUGGUUGCAAUUGACGCACGGGGUCAAGCAUCACCAAUAAAGACAACUUUUGAAAGGACCACUGUGGACGCAUGCCUACAACAGCUAAAGGAUCAUGGGUACUUUGCGCUAGACUACUCGUAUUUUAAAAUAAAGGCGCUUGAGGAGGGAAGCAGUAGUGUGAUUAUGACUGCUGAGAGGCUAUGUCAUCUGAAUCGACAUGACAUGGUAUGGAUCUAAUCAUCCUUUUAUCUUUAAUUACGUUACAUCUGUUAAAUUUCAUAAUAAUGUUAUUCUCUUCUUUUAGGAUACCUAUAAUCAAACCUGGGCGGCAAUAAGCUUUGUAGAAAUUCUGGAGCAAGCCGUGGAAAUGUUGGGAUAUAGUUACAGCGUUGGAUACCCGACACGCACUAGAGAUUUCUUGCUCCAGACUAAGGUCUCUUUCUACAAGGAAACUCAAGCGAACACACCAUUAUUUGAGAUUUAUGGUUAUCCAAAUUAUUAUCAUUCUGAAGCGCUAGAGAGUGUACUAGUCCAUGCUCUAACUUAUAUUGAUGACGUUCUAGACUUUAAGAUUGGAGAUAUGAAUUAUGCUUCAUAUCUUUAUAAGCUAUCCAGACUAAGCCCGUAGUAUGCAUGGAUGUAACAUUUGUCUUAUGUAUUUCAACUUCUCUCUAAGACAAGUAGUGUUGUAUCAAGUUAAAUACUUACUUUUCUUAUGUAUUUGAAUUAUUAUCAGAAGUGGUUCUCUCUAAGAUCUCAAAUGUAAUAUUAUAGAUAUGUAGAACUUUACAUAUAUUAGCGUAUUUGAACUAGUAUAUAUAAAGGAAACAAAUACGAAAUACGAAUAUAGAAUAAAAAAAUAGAAAAUAAGAAAAGAAAUGAAAAAUAAUUAGUACCGGUUGGGGAUACCAACCGGUACUAAUGAGGCAACCCCCGCGCAGGGCGUGGCAGGCCCUUUAGUACCGGUUGGUAUCCCUAUAGUACCGGUUGUUUCAACCGGUACUAAAGGACCCCCUCUAGUACCGGAUUGCCAGUACCGGUUGCACAACCGGUACUAGAGGGGGUUACUAACCGGUACUAGAGGUACUAGAGGUGAUUUCUCCAGUAGUGUAGCCAUUUAUUUUGAGAAGUUGUGCAUCAAAAUACACCUUAGUUCUUGUUUGGCCCGGUGUUCUUGAUUCCACUUUUAAACAGGAUGAGCAAAGAUCUGAAUGUCGGGGUGUGUUGAAGGCCAUUAUACACCAUUCUGACUGCCAACCAUUGCAAAUAAUGAUGGAACUUAAUGUAGUUAGGAUAUAAAUAUUUAUUUAAACACGAGUUCCACGAGUUUUGGUGGUUUGGUAUGUUUUGCAGGAUUAUCCUCGGAAAAUGCAAGAAACAAUAUUAGAUGGAGUAUAUGCAAGGAUGGACCAUUUGUAACAUUGUCAAAUUCUCAAUUGGACAUCACCAUGUUAAAGUGCUCGUCAAGAUGAUCAAAAUGGAUACUUUGAUCACCCAAUUUGGAGUCCUAGUGAUUUAUGUUUCUGCUGCCUGGUUCUUUGUUGACUAUCAUUUUUCCAGCCAUUAGGCUCCAGAACCAGUGGUGUUAGGCUUCACGGCGGUUCCUUUUAAACUGGCAGUGAUAGCCCUGUAUGUAGUGGUGGUUUAAGUGAGGGUUGCCUAUGCAAAGAAUUAGUCGAGAGCAGACCUCGCUUUUAAACCUUAGGCCAGUUUUACGAAGGUUUCAUAGGAGUUUUAUGAGUAUUAUAUUCUAUACCAUAUCUACAAUUUUGAUGACUUUCCAGGUCAUUACGUGGAGAGAGGAGAGGGAGUUUCAUCAGAUCAGAAAGGAGUUUCAUCCCCAUAACAUCCAUAAAGCUUAUUGGUUACCAAGUUCUGAGCCUAAUGCUGUAAUAAAAUUACUCCCUCCGUCCAGAAAUGAUAGGCGUAUUUGAACUAGGAAAAAGUCUUUUAAAGUAAAUUUUGACUCUUAAUUUCUCUUAUAAUAUAAUGUCAAUUGCUAAAAACUCAAUAUCAUCUCAAAAUAAAUUUAAGUACAAAUAUAUGCAAAAUUUAUAUACUAAAUAUGCUUAUAAUUUAACUAAUUGUUUGUCAAAGUUUGACUUUUGAUUGAUCAAAAUACGCCUAUCAUUUCUAGAUGGAGGGAGUAUGCACUAAGACUAGUAUUAGGAAUGCCCAUCUGGUAGAUACUAUCAAGUCUGUGGAAAUCCAACACAGAUACCUCGUGGGAGGCGACAAGUAAACGUAAACGGGCGGAGAGAAGAUACUCCCAUGUCAUAGGUUGAAAAUGCGACUCAAAUUUUCUAGGCCUUGUUUUCCUGUAUCCUGUACACCGAGUGUAACCAACUCAUAUCCAACCAUCGAAGUAUCUUUCGUGAACUUUGUACUCUUGCCACCCUCUUGCUUCGUGUAUGUCUCUUGACUGACUCCAUUGUUACUGGCUUUCUUGUCCCACAAAGCAUCUCCAUCUGUAAGUUGCUUGUAUGGAGACGUUCUUCUAAUCUUCUCACACGGUAGCAGUGUCUACUCCUAUGCUUACAACCACAAAAAUGACGAAAAAUAUCAUGAUCUUCUUACGCCCGGCCUGUUGUGAUGGGCGUUGGCUAGCAAACAAAUACUGAGAUGUCCAGAGUAAACGGCCGGUCUACGGACAUGAAUUUGUUUGGCUCCAGGGGGACUAGAGUUUAGCUAUAUCACAUCGGAUAUUUAGACACUAAUUAGAAGUAUUAAACAUAGUAUAAUUAUAAAACUAAUUACAUAGAUGGAGUCUAAUUCGUGAGACGAAUCUAUUAAACCUAAUUAGUUCAUGAUUUGACAAUGUGGUGCUACAGUAACCAUUUGCUAAUGAUGGAUUAAUUAAGCUUAAUAGAUUCGUCUCGCGAAUUAGCUUAGGGUUUCUGUAUUUAGUUUUAUGAUUAGCUCAUGUUUAGUCUUUCUAAUUAGCAUCCGAACAUCCGAUGUGACAGGGCUAAACUUUAGUCCUGAUAUCCAAAAUACCGUAAAGUGGAAAUCAUGUCGUGUACAUGAUGCUUCCAGGAAGAGCACGAACAGGUUAUAAAAGCGUAGCAUAUGCUGCGAUGGAUGCACCACACCACUGCAAUAGCUGGAAGCCAGUAGGUUGUGCAAGCUGCAACACGAUGGGUCGGUUCCUCCCACUUGUACUGGUAGCUGUAGUUAUUUUCCCCCUCCUCAUGCCAGCGCCGCUUGUCUUGUCGGCGGCCGUCCGGCCGCCGGUCAAGAUAAAUUCAGCACAGGCGAAGAAGAUCAGCGACUACUUCAAGAAGCAAGCCUUCGACUUCUUGAAGGAUCACGCCUUGGACGUCAUCCCGAACGUCCUGUCAACUCCGGAAGGCCAGAAGCAGGGCACAAAAGCGGCCGACACCGCCGGCCUCUACGUCUUUAACCUCUCCGUCGGCACGUCGAUCCUGCAGAACAUUACCGGCAUCCUGGACAUCACCACUGAGCUCGUGUGGGCGCAGUGCGCGUGUAGCGCUGACGCCUGCUUGCCACCUCCGGGGACCACAUUCGACCCAAGUACGUCGGACACCUUCGCCGGGGUUCCCUGCAUCAGCCAGAGGUGCCAGAGCGUGAUCAAGCAGCAAUGUGGCCCUGACCCCGCGGCGAACUGCACGUACCUUAUGCAAUACGACGACUACACCAACACGACCGGCUACCUCGGCAACGACACGUUCACGUUUGGUCAGACUCAGUUCCCCGACGUGGUGUUCGGCUGCAGCAAGGCGAGCUACGGUGAUUUCUUUGGCGCCUCCGGCGUCCUGGGCUUCAGCAGGGGGAGCCUAUCCCUGGUGUCCCAGCUCCAACUCUCCUGGUUCUCCUACCUCUUGGUUUCGGACGGACCCAGCCCCUUGCAGUUCGGCUAUGACGCCGUUCCGCAGACGGAGAACAGCCACUCAACUCCCCUUCUCAACAACGACGCAAACCCUGGCCUUUACUAUGUCAAGCUCACCGGCAUAAU
rnacentral:lncRNA from 1 species